GCCAGUGUGGCAUAGUGUUUUUGAGUGUUGGACUAAUAACACUGAAGACCAGGGUUCGAUUCCCAGCUCAGGCA